rnacentral:sRNA from 1 species
CGCCCAUACUUUGGUGGCCACUGGCAGUCAGCGGCGCGGACUGCCCCGAGGGCGGGAAAGGGUGGUCACUGGGUCAGCCCGAAGCACCUGACAUGAGGGCGGGGACCCCGAAAUGCACACGAAGUCCGGAACUGGUCUUCUGUGAUUUUCAUUCGCCCUGGUGUCUGUUCCCUUUCGUACUCAAAGCUCGUGCAUCCAGGGAGAGGAAACCGGAGAUAGGGUCUUCGGGCCCCGGGCAGACCCUCUGUGCCGCUGCAAACCGUUGGGGCCUGAGGCUGUCAGGUCCUCCCCCAGACACCUGCGGACCCUCCCUCGCGUGGCUUCCCGUCUGGUCAUGGCGAGAUUCUGGGUCUGCGUAGCCGGUGCUGGCUUCUUUCUUGCAUUUUUGAUUUUGCAUUCGCGUUUUUGUGGCUCUCCAGUGAGUUGGGUAGUGAGGAAAUGACUGUCGGGUGUGCGGAUGGCCCUGUUGGGAGGCGUCGCCACGGUCGUGGGAUGGAGGUGGCAGGCCCUGGUUCCCUCAGUAGCUUGUCUCAAAGCCUACACCUGGGUCCAAACUGCCUUGACUCUUUGAGUUUAAAAAUUUGUGUAUGUUACAUCGCCAUUUUCCUCUUUCCCAACUCCUACUACAUCCUCAAAUAAUUUGCAGACUUGUAUUGUGGUCGUGUUGGUCUUUAGGCAUCUUCAGCUCAUUUCUUUGGAAUUAUUUCAGUCCAGCAAACUUCUAGUUGUCAAGGCAUGCUUAAAAAUAAGCCCUGUUACCCCCUCCCCCCCGCCCUUCUUUUGUUCUUACCUAGAGGGUAAACUAAAUCUGAAUUGUCUAAUUUUGUUUAAGGUUUUGAGGAACUUUACUUUUGCAGUUUCCUGGAGAACUGAGAAAAUUCUUUACCGGCUGGAUGUGGGUUGGCCUAAGUACCCAGAAUAUUUUACCGGAACAACAUUUUGUGUUACAGUUGAUUCCGUCAAUGGAUUGGUUUACAUAGGUCAAAGAGGGGAUAACAUCCCAAAGAUAUUAGUGUUCACAGAGGAUGGAUAUUUCCUACGAGCCUGGAAUUAUACAGUUGACACACCUCAUGGUAUAUUUGCAGCCAGUACUCUAUAUGAACAAUCCGUCUGGAUCACGGAUGUAGGAAGUGGUAUGUAUAGUAAUAUCUAUUAAAUUAUCUUACUGGAAAUCGCAUCUUUGCACAUGUCCUUGCUUGUAUUGUUUAAAAUCAGAGUUGCUGAAUCUAACUGUAAUUUCUUUAACGAUUCAUGAAAUCACAUGUUUUUAACAAACUUUAUAUUGUACUUCUGUGGAAUUAAGAAAUAUGACAAGGGCUGGACGCGGUGGCUCACGCCUGUAAUCCCAGCACUUUGGGAGGCCGAGGCGGGCGGAUCACGAGGUCAGGAGAUCGAGACGAUCCUGGCCAACAUGGUGAAACACCUUCUCUACUAAAAAUACAAAAAAAAAAAAAAAUUAGCCGGGCAUGUUGGCGGGCCCUUUAGUCGCAGCUACUGGGGAGGCUGAGGCAGGAGAAUGGCGUAAACCCGGGAGGCGGAGCUUGCAGUGAGCCGAGAUCGCGCCACUGCACUCCAGCCUGGGUGACAGAGCGAGACUCCGUCUCAAAAAAAAAAAAAAGGGAGAAAUUUGACAAGGAGCCUGUUAAUAUGAUCUUUCCUUGAACUUGUCUAGGUACUUUCCCUCUUUAAAGCAUCAGUUGCUCUUCUCAGAUUAAAUAACUCUAAACUGAAGCCAAAUAAAGUGGCAGUCUCUGAAAGCAAUGACUGGUAUCCUUGACUCUUAUUUUCCUUUUCCAGUUCUCUUUCAUAAAAGAUUGUGAAAUCGUAACUGUAUUGUUGCUCAAAGUGCAAAGAUUGCAGAAACUGUUGUUAAUGAUUUUGAAAUUCUACUGACUGAAGCAUAUCUGAAAUCUUCCUGCCAUCAAAUAUUUUUAGUAGAAAAAGCUGAAAAAUGAAGUGAGCACAACUGAAUGUGCAGCUAUGGAGAAAGUUUUCAGAGAAACAAUUCACCUGUGGCUGUAGUUUAAGACAAGGCAAUACCUGAGAUAUCCUGGCAUUACCCUAGGAAUUCAGGAAGAAAUGGGAUUAUAAAGACAUUAUUUCUAGUAUUCCUUGGCCCAGUUAUGUUCUUGAAUUGAGGGACAUCCUGGUUCUACAGUCCUGGCUGAUUCAGAUACCAUUUUUUAGAGAUAAUGAGUUCUCAGUUUCCGUAAGUAGUGCCAUUAUCACAGCUGUUCUCAGAACCCAUAAGAUUUCUGGGCCUCAGCUGAUGGCCCAUUUAUUUCAUGCUGUGUUUUACAUAGUACGAAUCUGGUUCAACCAAAAAAAAAAAUCUAUAGAUUAUCACUGAGUGAAUUGUUAAUACUGUAAUGAGAGUCUAUUUUCACUUUUUUCCUGAAGAUCCACUGUUAAAGACCGUUUCUUUGAGUUCAUUUUAUUCAUGUGAUUUUUAAAAAUAAGACUUCCUUGAUUCCCAGAAAUAAAGAGCACAGAUGAUCUCUUCAUUUUUUCCAUUACAGCUAAUUUUCUACCCAGAGAUCUGAAAACAGUUUUAUGUUCCUAUUUCCCAAAGGAAUAAAUUUCCUGUAAUGAAAAAUAUGGCUACAAAUUAGCCUUUUGCUUUUUGAGAAAAUUUUUUAUUGGUAGUCUUUUUUGCUAGUUUUUAGAAACUUGGAGGCUUAUGUGUUUUUUAUUGCUAUAAACUUUAGCUCAACUGCCCAAAAGUGUAAUAGUAAAUAAAUUAUUUGACAUAGAAUUGUAAUGCAAGCUGAUUCACACUUUCUUUCUGGUAAGCUCAGUGUAUCCAGUUUGUCUUUUAAAUACCUAUCAAUUAAUUUGGCAUAUGUACCUUCAAAGUGAUUUCUGUUCACUGCUUUAUGAUAUUCCCUUAUUAGUAGUCUGCUUUAUGCUCUUGCUUGUAAGAUAAUUUUAACUUAAAGAAAUUUUAAUGUGAGAAAAUAAGAUACUCAUGAUUUACAAAGAUUAUUUUCUUCUUAGCAAAGAAAAGUUGAGGGGUUGAAUUUUGAAUGUCUCCACAAGAUGAAAAUGCAGUUAAAAAAAAACCAUAGAGAACGUUUUUGUUGACUUACUGAAAUUUAAGAUCUGUAUGUGAGUGAUUGAAAUAACAGUUUCAAAUAUAAGCUGUUCCCUUUACAUUUUCUUCUUGAUUUCCUUUCAUAAGCAAUGCUUAUUCAAGGUCAUAAGAUUAAAAAAGAAAAUGAUGCACCUAUA